rnacentral:lncRNA from 1 species
GAGGGAAGGAGACAGAUAACAAGUGAGAAGACCACAGGAUGCAGUUAGUUAUGUACAGGCUUAACCAAUUCUCUGGUGCAGCAGCAUCAUAAUUCUGAUAAUAUCAGAAUAGUGAGACAGCUAGGUGGGAGUGGGUCUCUGGAGAAACUCCAACCAGUCUGACCACUGAGGUGGAGCCUCAGCAAGUUCACAAGUGUGCAGCGGGGAGGAGCCUGGCCCUCCCUCUUCCUGUGUGAACCUGAGAGUCAAGCUCAGGGCAGGAAGCACUCCAGCAGAUACCUCGCUGGACCCCAAAUGAAACGUUCAAAGAAAGGCAAGCAAGCACUGCAGAAGAGAUGGACUCAAAUGGACUAAAAAGGCAGAGCUUGUUUUUGGCUGUAGCGCCCUUUUGCCAUGACAAAGCUGGGAAAGGAGACACGCAGUCUGUCGCAUUUAUUUCUGAUCAAUCUACAUAAGAAUUGUCAGGCUGGCACGUUGGAUUACUGCUGACUUGUGAGUUGAGAUCCAUUUGCUUCAGGUUUUCACUUUUCAUUCUUAGAAGCCCUGGUCAUCUCCACAGAACUGUAUUUUGUGGAUGUUUUCAUUGUUGGGAAUGUUGAUCAAAUUAGGUGGAAAAAAGAAAAAAAAAAAAAGGAACAUGACCACCUUGAGAUUCUCCUACAUUGACAGAGCACACGUUUGAUCAAAAUGCAAUGUCAUUCGUCUUUCGUGGCUUUUUGUCGAUCAUGUUUGCUGGAAGGAUAAGUGAACUCCAUGAAAAGACAUUUAUCUAAAUUAUCCUGAUAAAGUGCCAUCACUCUGGGUAAAAAGAAAAAUGAGCGAGAAGGCCAGACUCUACGCACAUGCCUUCCACUUGAAUUAACCGAGGAAAAACAUAAAGACACAUCAUGCAACUAGUAUUUUACAUACAUAUGUGUGUGCGUGUAAACUAGGAUCCUCUGUGCUAAAAGUUAUCUUUGUGCUUAUUCAACUCUUAAAAACACUAUCAAAAUCCUUAUAAUAUACCGACCUUGAUAUAAACCAAGAAUCAUCACCGGCUCACUGAUAGAAAGCCAGUAACCAAAUUGUAAACAAAUAUAGGUAAUGUCUGAGAGUCUAUGUUGACAAGUAGAUAAGAAGAUAAAUGUAGAGUUUUUCUUAAUUAGCCUUUCUUAAUUAAAAACAGGAGCAGUAUUGUGAUCAAAAUGAACUCUGGUGGGAGCCUGGUCACUUGGUCUUCUGGGUAUCACUUGAGGAAAAUUAGAUUUUUUUUUUCCCUUCUAGGAUAAAUUGUGCACUAAAGAAGGAAUAAAUGGUGUCUGUGAGCAGUGUCCCCUUGGUUUUUAUCUGCGUGAGAUGGAUGUGCCUCUUGUCGUUUUCAGAAUGGCGUGGGGGCAGACUUAGCCAUCAUUAGCACCCCAGGAUGGAUCCAAUUCACUAAUUACUUAUGCUGUCCUGGUUCACUGAGAUUUAAGUACCAAGUCAAUCCCAUUAUCUGCAGUCUCCCAAGCUUGCCAGAGCCAUCCGUCUUUCAUGGAAAAGAAGCACAAGGGUUAUCAAUUGGGCCCUGCAAGACUUGGGAUUUUCCUACUUUGGGAGAAGGCAAGAUUAGUCCUGACUCAAGUCCAGGCCCCUCUAAGCCGCCACUUUGGAUGCGAUAAAAGAAAAUGGUGACAAUUAUCCAUAACUAUGUGAAACACCAGGAGGGGAAAGGCAGGGAGCAAGGGGAAGGGAGG